UACAGAGGUCUCAAGCGUUGUUCGGAUUCAUUGGGCGUAAAGGGUGCGUAGGCGGCGCGGUAAGUCGGGUGUGAAAUCUUGGAGCUUAACUCCGAAACUGCAUUCGAUACUGCCGUGCUUGAGGACUGGAGAGGAGACUGGAAUUUACGGUGUAGCGGUGAAAUGCGUAGAUAUCGUAAGGAAGACCAGUGGCGAAGGCAGGUCUCUGGGCCACUACUGACGCUGAGAAGCGAAAGCAUGGGGAGCGAACAGG
rnacentral:rRNA from 1 species